rnacentral:lncRNA from 13 species
AUGAGGUCUUUAAGCUACUCGCCCCCAGCUAAAGAAGAGGCGAUAUGUUGGACGGAUAAAGAAUCUCUCGGCCUGAACGUUGUCAUAAAAGAAGAAGAGGAAGAUAUCUCAUUGAAAGUAGAGGAAGAAGCUUUCAGAAUUAAAAAGGAGGAAGAGGAGUCUAUCAGCAUCGCAUUGAAAGAGGAAGAUGUUGUAGUGAAAGAAGAGAAAGAACCUUUUGGAGUGGAAGAGGAGGCUCUUAUAUUAAAAGAGGAGGAUUAUGUUACAGUGAAAGAACAGAAAGAACCCAUUAGAGUGAAGGAGGAAGAGAGGAUAGAGGCUGUCACAGUGGAAGAGGAGGAGGUAGAAGCUUCGAUAAUGAAAAAGGAGGAAGAGGCUAUCACAUUGAAAGAAGAAGAGGAUGUUAUAAUGAAAGAAGAGGAAGAACCUUUUAGAGUGAAAGAGGAAGAGGAGGCUAUCUCAGUAAAAGAGGAGGAAGACAUUUUGGGAGUGAAAGAGGAGGAGGAAGGAGAGGAAGAGGAGACUGAAGAUCGGAUUAGCACCGGUGAGUAUUGUCUUAAAAACAGGGACACAAACUUUGCACUUGUAAAGUAAUAUGUUUUAAAUAGGCGUUCUACUGAAUACUACUAUACUUCAAUGGGGUAUUCAGGACUGUAGACAUUGUUCAAGGGCAAUCUGCCAUUGGUACAUGCAUUUUUUGACUUGUUUAAAUUAAUAAUAUAUAGGCCUAGCUAUUGCUUAUUGGAGAAUAUAACUGAUAAAUGCUCAAUGAACUUACUUCAACUAACUCUUACAGCCUUGUUAUAAAAUUGCUUAAAUAUUUUUUUUUUACACACAAUUACCCAAUGAUGACAAAGCAAAAACUGUUUUAUAUUUAUUUUUAGUAAAUGUAUUUUAAAAAAAAACAGGAAAUAUCACAUUUACAUAAGUAUUCAGACCUUUUACUCAGUACUUUGUUGAAGCACCUUUUGGCAGCGAUCACAGCCUCGAGUCUUCUUGGGUAUGACCCUACAAGCUUGGCACACCUGUAUUUGGGGAGUUUCUCCCAUUCUUCUCUGCAGAUCCUCUCAAGCUCUGUCAGGUUUGAUGGGGGAGCGUUUGCUGCACAGUUAUUUUCAGGUCGUUUCAGAGAUGUUAGAUCGGGCUCAAGUCUGGGCUCUGGCAGGGCCACUCAAGGACAUUCAGAGACUUGUCCUGAAGUACAGUGGCACAAAAGCUAUACAAAAUGGAAAUCAAAAUAAAUAAAUAUUGUUCAAUACGAGCAAUACUAACUUUGAAUAAUGUUGUAAUAUAUCGUGUAUAUUUAUACCCAAUGGUUUCCAAUGCUCCUAUUAAUGGUACAGGUGCAGAAAAAGCACUCUCUAUACAGAAUGUAAAUGACAAUAAAUAAAUAAUUGUCGUUCCAAUUAAGCCCAGGUUCCUCCUAUUAAGCCCAGGUUGCUCCUAUUAAGCCCAGGUUGCUCCUAUUAAGCCCAGUAUGCUCCUAUUAAGCCCAGUAUGCUCCUAUUAAGCCCAGUAUGCUCCUAUUAAUGGUACAGGUGCACAAAAAGCACUCUCUAUACAGAAUGUAAAUGACAAUAAAUAAAUAAUUGUCGUUCCAAUUAAGCCCAGGUUCCUCCUAUUAAGCCCAGGUUGCUCCUAUUAAGCCCAGGUUGCUCCUAU